rnacentral:rRNA from 1 species
ACGUAGGGUGCGAGCGUUAAUCGGAAUUACUGGGCGUAAAGCGUGCGCAGGCGGUUUUGUAAGUCAGAUGUGAAAUCCCCGGGCUCAACCUGGGAACUGCGUUUGAAACUGCAAGGCUAGAGUAUGGGAGAGGGAGGUAGAAUUCCACGUGUAGCAGUGAAAUGCGUAGAGAUGUGGAGGAAUACCAAUGGCGAAGGCAGCCUCCUGGCCCAAUACUGACGCUCAUGCACGAAAGCGUGGGGAGCAAACAGGA